rnacentral:tRNA from 1 species
UCUCUGGUGGCCCAGUGGUUAAGACUCCGCAUUACCAAUGCAGGGGGCAGAGGUUCGAUUCCUGUUCAGGGAA